rnacentral:rRNA from 1 species
UAGGGAAUCUUCGGCAAUGGACGAAAGUCUGACCGAGCAACGCCGCGUGAGUGAAGAAGGUUUUCGGAUCGUAAAACUCUGUUGUUAGAGAAGAACAAGGACGUUAGUAACUGAACGUCCCCUGACGGUAUCUAACCAGAAAGCCACGGCUAACUACGUGCCAGCAGCCGCGGUAAUACGUAGGUGGCAAGCGUUGUCCGGAUUUAUUGGGCGUAAAGCGAGCGCAGGCGGUUUCUUAAGUCUGAUGUGAAAGCCCCCGGCUCAACCGGGGAGGGUCAUUGGAAACUGGGAGACUUGAGUGCAGAAGAGGAGAGUGGAAUUCCAUGGGUAGCGGUGAAAUGCGUGAAUAUAUGGAGGAACACCAGUGGCGAGGGCGGCUCUCUGGUCUGUAACUGACGCUGAGGCUCGAAAGCGUGGGGAGCAAACAGG